rnacentral:rRNA from 1 species
UACGGAUGGGGCAAGCGUUAUCCGGAAUUACUGGGUGUAAAGGGAGCGUAGGCGGUACGGCAAGUCAGAAGUGAAAGCCUGGGGCUCAACCCCGGAAUUGCUUUUGAAACUGUCGGACUAGAGUGUCGGAGGGGUAAGCGGAAUUCCUAGUGUAGCGGUGAAAUGUGUAGAUAUUAGGAGGAACACCGGUGGCGAAGGCGGCUUACUGGACGACCACUGACGCUGAGGCUCGAAAGCGUGGGGAGCAAACAGG